rnacentral:rRNA from 1 species
UACGUACCGUCCAAACGUUAUUCGGAAUUACUGGGCUUAAAGGGUACGUAGGCGGCGCUGUCAGUCGGGUGUGAAAUCCCAGGGCUCAACCCUGGAACUGCGCCCGAUACUGCAGUGCUUGAGGGAGACAGAGGUAAGCGGAACUGAUGGUGGAGCGGUGAAAUGCGUUGAUAUCAUCAGGAACACCAAUUGCGAAGGCAGCUCGCUACACGAAUAUUGACUCUGAGGCACGAAAGCGUGGGGAUCAAACAGG